rnacentral:lncRNA from 1 species
CAGGAUGAUCCAGCUAACCAUUUUUCUUCUUAAAACUUGAAAUAAAUGGAGAUCAAGAAUGCUAGACAUCUUUAAAUAAAUCAGAGGUCUUAUGACACUUCUAAUAUUUUAUUAACAAAGUUUUGGUUUGAUUUAUCGGUUUAAAAUAACUAGCAAGGUAUUCUCUAAGUGCUGAAACAUAAAUUACAAACACGAAGCCUUGAUUUAUGUUAAUGGUGGAUAAUAUGUGGGACACGGCAAGUUAGCACAGAUUUUACACUAUUUCCUGAGUUAGGGGUUGGAACCAGAGAAAAGAGCUGGAGAAAGUGCUGCCUUAGGCUCCAUUUGUUGAUAUAUGGGUGACGGCUGUCUUCUAAGAAAUGAUAUAAUCCUGAUGAUGUGAACUUUCACUUCUAUUCCAGGCACCUCCAGAUUUUAGUGAAAUCUGUUCGACAUUUCCGAGUCCCUGGGAUGGAUCAGAGGCAUUCAGAUUUCUGCAAGGAUGGCAGAGGAAAAAAAAAACCAAAAAAGUGUCUGUGUUGGAUUGCAGAAAACAGAAACCAACUCCAGCUAGCUUGCAUGAAAGUAAUUUAUUGAUGGGACAUUCGGGUCCUGAAACCUACAAGUUAAAAUAACCAGUCUUUGGAUGAGCCAGAGCCGGGCAACUCCAGGGCCCUCAGAAGAAGGAAGUUAUGGACUUCUUCUCUAGAAUGCUGACAUUCAUAUUUCUAAUUUUUAGUGACCUGUAUUGUCAGAUGAACCAGCUCUGGCCAGGAAGGUAGGGUCCAUGAUUGCUGGAGGCCCCUCCAUGGCAUCAGGCCAAUUCCCAAGGCAAGGGGAAUAGUAGGAGCUAAUAAAUUCGUAAGGCUUUAAUGAGGUGUAAUAGUCAUGU